AAACCAACAGGGAUUGCCUCAGUAACGGCGAGUGAAGCGGCAAAAGCUCAAAUUUGAAAUCCUUCGGGAAUUGUAAUUUGAAGGUCCAGAAAUUGGCAUGGGAAAAAGUCCAUUGGAACAUGGCGCCAGAGAGGGUGAGAGCCCCGUUAUCUUCCCGCCCGCCUACAUAUUUUUGGUCCAAAGAGUCGAGUUGUUUGGGAAUGCAGCUCUAAGUGGGUGGUAAAUUCCAUCUAAAGCUAAAUAUUGGCGAGAGACCGAUAGCGAACAAGUACAGUGAUGGAAAGAUGAAAAGCACUUUGAAAAGAGAGUGAAACAGUACGUGAAAUUGUUGAAAGGGAAGGGCUUGCAAGCAGACACAACCUCUCGGGGUUGGGCCAGCAUCAGGUGAUGGGGUGUGAAAAGAUUUUAUGGAUGUAACUUGGGGCCUUCUGGCGUUAAGAAUUUAUAACAUAGAAAGAUAACACCAUCGUCGCCUGAGGCCUGCGAAUUUUUAUUCUAGGAUGCUGGCGUAAUGGUUGCAAGUCGC
rnacentral:rRNA from 1 species